ACGUAGGGCGCGAGCGUUGUCCGGAUUUAUUGGGCGUAAAGAGCUCGUAGGCGGUUUGUCGCGUCGAAUGUGAAAUUUUAGGGCUCAACCCUGACAUUGCAUUCGAUACGGGCAGGCUAGAGUUCGGUAGGGGAGACUGGAAUUCCUGGUGUAGCGGUGAAAUGCGCAGAUAUCAGGAGGAACACCGGUGGCGAAGGCGGGUCUCUGGGCCGAUACUGACGCUGAGGAGCGAAAGCGUGGGGAGCGAACAGGA
rnacentral:rRNA from 1 species